rnacentral:lncRNA from 1 species
AGAUACCCUGUGGGUCAGGUACGUGAGGAUAGCUCAUCUUUGCUCCGGGAUCAGUGACCAGGAAUAGGAGGAUGCUGGCAAGUGGAAGACUCCGCUUCUAAUCCCUGAAGAUGCGGAGUGGGUGAGGGGUCUUUUCGCCAGGGGCGAAGGUAGCAAGGUAGGCGGGGAGAGGAUUCUUUUCGACCUGAGACUGGACGAGGAGAGGAGAGGCUCCGCCAGGAGGAGGAGCCGCCUCCCACGUCCUGCCGUCCGGGCUCCCUUAGGUCGUGGCUCUGCUAUAAAGCCUCAACCGGCAUGAUCCCGAAGCCUCGGGUGGCUUCGUUGGUGCUGGACCCCAGGCUGGGCAGCGUCUAUGCCCUCAAGCACCAUGCAGCUCCUUCUUGCUCUACUGGCGCUGGCUUACGUGGCCCCCUCUACUGAAGGUACCCUGGGGUGACCCUCUGCGCCCCCAGACUCGCUACCCUUGCUAGCGCGCUCCGGCUGCGCAUGGUUCGUGCAAGGAAACCGUGAGGCUGCAGCGGACCUGGUUGUGUAUGAGCGUGGGCGCCUACACGUGUCCGCGGGAGGCUGCGGGGGAAUGUGUGCCCGCAUGUGCGCGGCCG